rnacentral:rRNA from 1 species
UAGUAGCGAGAAUAAGGUGAGAAUCCUUAUGGCCGAAUAUCCAAGGUUUCCAGAGUAAAGCUGAUCUGCUCUGGGUAAGUCGGGGCCUAAGGCGAGGACGAGAGUCGUAGCCGAUGGACAACAGGUGGAGAUUCCUGUACUGCGGUAUGACAGAACUGUGGGGACACGUAAGGAAAGCGGAAGCCGGGAAUGGAGAGCCCGGUGCAAGCGGGGUACCAGCCACUUUGGCAAAUCCGGGUGGCAAUGGGAAUCCGUGAUGCGGAGCGAAAUAAAGUAGCGGAGUCCGUGAGCCAUGCGUCAAGAAAAGCCGCUAUUGUUUAUACCGUACCCGUACCGUAAACCGACACAGGUGGAUGAGGAGAGAAUCCUAAGGCCGGCGGAAGAAGCAUUGUCAAGGAACUCGGCAAAAUGGCCCCGUAACUUAGGGAUAAGGGGUGCCUGGGAAACCAGGCCGCAGAGAAUAGGCUCAAGCAACUGUUUAGCAAAAACACAGGUCUAUGCGAAACCGAAAGGUGAGGUAUAUGGGCUGACGCCUGCCCGGUGCUGGAAGGUUAAGAGGAGAGGUUAGCGUAAGCGAAGCUUUGAAUUUAAGCCCCAGUAAACGGCGGCCGUAACCAUAACGGUCCUAAGGUAGCGAAAUUCCUUGUCGGGUAAGUUCCGACCCGCACGAAAGGCGUAAUGAUUUGAGCGCUGUCUCGACAAUGCAUCCGGUGAAAUUGAAGUACCAGUGAAGAUGCUGGUUACCUGCGCCAGGACGGAAAGACCCCAUGGAGCUUUACUCCAGUUUGGUACUGGGACUCGGUAUUGCAUGUACAGGAUAGGUGGGAGGCUGAGAGACAGUAACGCCAGUUAUUGUGGAGCCGCUGUUGGGAUACCACCCUUGCAGUAUUGGGUUUCUAACCAGCCGCCGUGACCCGGCGGUGGGACAAUGCCAGACGGGGAGUUUGACUGGGGCGGUCGCCUCCGAAAGGGUAUCGGAGGCGCCCAAAGGUUCCCUCAGAAUGGACGGAAACCAUUCGAAGAGUGCAAAGGCAGAAGGGAGCUUGACUGCGACACCGACGGGUGGAGCAGGUACGAAAGUAGGGCUUAGUGAUCCGGUGGUAUUAAGUGGGAAUGCCAUCGCUCAACGGAUAAAAGCUACCCUGGAUAACAGGCUUAUCACUCCCAAGAGUUCACAUCGACGGAGUGGUUUGGCACCUCGAUGUCGGCUCAUCGCAUCCUGGGGCUGUAGUAGGUCCCAAGGGUUGGGCUGUUCGCCCAUUAAAGCGGUACGCGAGCUGGGCUCAGAACGUCGUGAGACAGUUCGGUCCCUAUCCGGCGUGGGCGUAGGAUAUCUGAGAGGAGCUGUCCUUAGUACGAGAGGACCGGGAUGGACGGGCCGCUGGUGCAUCGGUUAGACUGCCAAGUCUACGGCCGAGUAGCCAAGCCCGGAAGGGAUAAACGCUGAAGGCAUCUAAGCGUGAAGCCCCCCUUAAGAUGAGAUAUCCCAUUCGCGAGAAGUAAACCCCCUUGAAGACGACGAGGUAGAUAGGGCAGAGGUGGAAGUGCAGCAAUGCAUGGAGCUGACUGUUACUAAUCGGGUGAGGGCUUGACC